rnacentral:rRNA from 1 species
AUGGGCCGUCCGAUACCUUUGGAAAAGUACGGGCGGGGCGAUAGAGUCUGGACCCGAAACUGCUUUCCUAAAAAAAAAAUCGACUCUAAACGCCACUCGGGUCCGUGGUCCGGCGCCUCCGCGCCGUGUCGAUCCGGCCGACGAACGGCGGUCCCCUCCCCUCCUGCGCAGCAGCCGGGGCCGCUACUUCCAGCCGGCUUCCUCUGGCGUACAACCCCUACUCCUCUCAGGUCCAGCCCUCCGGCUCCACCCCGCCCUUCUCAUCCGGACCUAGGGUUUGUGCGACCCUGCGAGCUCCGUCCCCGCUCUCCCCGCUCCACCCAGUCGCGGGCGUACCAGCCGCCUCCCCGAGCCGUUCGAGCACAGGCCUCCUCGCAGAGGCACCUGUUGCCGCCCCCGCCGCCGCCAAGCACGAGGCUGUUUCUAGCUAAAUCCAAGGAAUUGGUGCAAUAUCAGGUCAUGGAGGGGAGUAAGAACAUGCAAGAGUCAGACACUGCAUCUGUUGUCAAAGUAUCCAGGGAGCCUGUUAUCAUUAUCAAUGGUGUCCCAGACUUGCCUCCUGAUUUCGCAUCUGGUUCACAACCUGCAGUAAGAGACGCUCAAGGAUCUCGAGUUGAUCAUCGCUUUGGUGAAUGGCUAGAAGGGCGGAAAGUGAGAAAGCAGUUUGGGGACAAGUAUUUUGCAGGGAAAGUUGUCAAGUAUGACAGUGAAAGCAAUUGGUACAGUGUUGUCUAUGAUGAUGGAGACCAGGAAGAUCUUGAAUGGCUUGAACUGGAGGAGAUCCUGCUACCAUUGGACAUAACCAUUCCACUCAGAAAACUUGUUAUGGACAAAUUCAAACAUCAGAAUGCUGUUCCUGACUCCAGACUUAAGGGGGCUAGAUCAUCGCAAGGAACUAAUGGUGCUCGCAACCAGGUGGUGGUCAGAGCAGUAAAUGGCCUACAGUCAAACAACCUGCCACUACCAGGGUUGCUUCAGGCGUCCCCAUCAAAUGCAGAGACUGUCAGGGCAGAAAAACUGAAGAUGCAGACCUCCAAAAGAAAAACUGAGGAGGUAUAUCAGCCUAAAAAAAGGGGCAGGCCUCGAAAGGAUAGAACUAUAUCAGUAUCAGGUGACAUUCAACCUAAAAAAAGAGGCAGACCUCCAAAAGAAAAGAACAUAUCUGGGGAGAGUAGUGUUCAUAAGCGCAAUGCAGAGACUGUCAGGGCAGAAAAACUGAAGAGAGAAAGCUUGCGUGUUCGAGGGGCAUAA